rnacentral:rRNA from 1 species
GAUGAACGCUGGCGGCGUGCCUAAUACAUGCAAGUCGAGCGAACAGACGAGGAGCUUGCUCCUCUGACGUUAGCGGCGGACGGGUGAGUAACACGUGGAUAACCUACCUAUAAGACUGGGAUAACUUUGGGAAACCGGAGCUAAUACCGGAUAAUAUAUUGAACCGCAUGGUUCAAUAGUGAAAGACGGUCUUGCUGUCACUUAUAGAUGGAUCCGCGCCGCAUUAGCUAGUUGGUAAGGUAACGGCUUACCAAGGCGACGAUGCGUAGCCGACCUGAGAGGGUGAUCGGCCACACUGGAACUGAGACACGGUCCAGACUCCUACGGGAGGCAGCAGUAGGGAAUCUUCCGCAAUGGGCGAAAGCCUGACGGAGCAACGCCGCGUGAGUGAUGAAGGUCUUCGGAUCGUAAAACUCUGUUAUUAGGGAAGAACAAAUGUGUAAGUAACUAUGCACGUCUUGACGGUACCUAAUCAGAAAGCCACGGCUAACUACGUG